UACAGAGGGUGCGAGCGUUAAUCGGAAUUACUGGGCGUAAAGCGUGCGUAGACGGUUAUUUAAGUCGGGUGUGAAAGCCCCGGGCUCAACCUGGGAAUUGCAUUCGAGACUGAAUAGCUAGGGUACGGUAGAGGGAAGCGGAAUUUCCGGUGUAGCGGUGAAAUGCGUAGAUAUCGGAAGGAACAUCAGUGGCGAAAGCGGCUUCCUGGACCAGUACCGACGUUCAGGCACGAAAGCGUGGGGAGCGAACGGG
rnacentral:rRNA from 1 species